UACAGAGGUCUCAAGCGUUGUUCGGAUUCAUUGGGCGUAAAGGGUCCGUAGGCGGUUUUGUAAGUCAGUGGUGAAAGCCCAUCGCUCAACGGUGGAACGGCCAUUGAUACUGCAAGACUUGAAUUACUAGGAAGUAACUAGAAUAUGUAGUGUAGCGGUGAAAUGCUUAGAUAUUACAUGGAAUACCAAUUGCGAAGGCAGGUUACUACUAGUGGAUUGACGCUGAUGGACGAAAGCGUGGGGAGCGAACAGG
rnacentral:rRNA from 1 species